rnacentral:tRNA from 1 species
GGGCCCGUGGCGGAAUGGCAUACGCGGCGGACUUAAAAUCCGCUGUCUCGCAAGGGACAUGUGGGUUCAACUCCCACCGGGCCCA